rnacentral:rRNA from 1 species
UACGGGGGGGGGGUAAGCGUUGUUCGGAAUUACUGGGCGUAAAGGGCUCGUAGGCGCCAACUAAGUCAGACGUGAAAUCCCUCAGCUUAACUGGGGAACUGCGUCUGAUACUGGAUGGCUUGGAUCCGGGAGAGGGAUGCGGAAUUCCAGGUGUAGCGGUGAAAUGCGUAGAUAUCUGGAGGAACACCGGUGGGCGAAGGCGGCAUCCUGGACCGGAUUGACGCUGAGGAGCGAA